rnacentral:sRNA from 1 species
UGUGUAUGUGUAUUGGGAGCGGGGGCUUCACACCCGAAUUCAGCCCGGCUCCUUGCGGAUCUCCCCUCCCCUGCCUGCCAGCCGCCCAUCCUCAGAGAGAAAAAUGGGAGCGGUUCUUCCCUCCCGGGACACCCGGAGCAAGCUCAGAUCCAACAGCAGAUGCGAUCAGGCGCACCUCCGGGAGAAAGGCAAACCCAAGGCCAGCUCAGACAUCCAUGUGUCAUUUCAAGCACGUCAUUUUUCUAAGCAAAUAUACAUCGGCACCUAAAGAAGUUGGAAAUGUAUUAAUAGGCUGUAAAAAGAGAAAGGAAAGUUCCACAAGAGCCCAACCAUGAGACUGCAAGGUCAUGCCACCGGUUCGGAAUCAGCAUUGGAUUGUGGAGAGCCUAUUUGUGUAUCUUGCGUCUUUUAUAAAAAGAAACAAUAGGAGGGUACCUCAGAUUGGGGUUCUUGGCGCCGCCCAGUGGAGAGAGGAGCCUUUGCAUCCAUGUCUGUCAGCGGGCCCUGUUACAGAGAUUCUUUAAGUGCUCAAGUGGAUAUAAGACAAGAAACAACAGUUUCAAGUUCAUCAUAAUUUGUUGGUGAAUUUCAUCAAAAUUAAAAUGUAUUAAAAACCCGAGGUUCCAGUUUAAAAGAAUCUCAAAGUUAAGACAGUAAGAGUGGGUGGUGGAGGAUGUCCUGCACACAAAACUCAUGGUUUGUGUUUGGAUCAUUCUUGGGGGACGGUGUGUGUGUGUGUGUGUGUGUGUGUGUGUGUGUGUGUGUGUGUAACUUCGCUGUUCAUUGAUGUGUUCUGAAGAAACAGGAAUGAAAUUGGUUC